rnacentral:rRNA from 1 species
AGCGAACGCUGGCGGCAGGCCUAACACAUGCAAGUCGAACGAACCUUUCGGGGUUAGUGGCGGACGGGUGAGUAACACGUGGGAACGUGCCUUUAGGUUCGGAAUAACUCAGGGAAACUUGUGCUAAUACCGAAUGUGCCCUUCGGGGGAAAGAUUUAUCGCCUUUAGAGCGGCCCGCGUCUGAUUAGCUAGUUGGUUGAGGUAAUGGCUCACCAAGGCGACGAUCAGUAGCUGGUCUGAGAGGAUGAUCAGCCACAUUGGGACUGAGACACGGCCCAAACUCCUACGGGAAGCAGCAGUGGGGAAUCUUGCGCAAUGGGCGAAAGCCUGACGCAGCCAUGCCGCGUGAAUGAUGAAGGUCUUAGGAUUGUAAAAUUCUUUCACCGGGGACGAUAAUGACGGUACCCGGAGAAGAAGCCCCGGCUAACUUCGUC